rnacentral:rRNA from 1 species
UACACUCCUGCGGGAGGCAGCAGUGGGGAAUAUUGGGCAAUGGGCGCAAGCCUGAUCCAGCCAUGCCGCGUGAGUGAUGAAGGCCCUAGGGUUGUAAAGCUCUUUCACCGGUGAAGAUAAUGACGGUAACCGGAGAAGAAGCCCCGGCUAACUUCGUGCCAGCAGCCGCGGUAAUACGAAGGGGGCUAGCGUUGUUCGGAUUUACUGGGCGUAAAGCGCACGUAGGCGGACUAUUAAGUCAGGGGUGAAAUCCCGGGGCUCAACCCCGGAACUGCCUUUGAUACUGGUAGUCUUGAGUUCGAGAGAGGUGAGUGGAAUUCCGAGUGUAGAGGUGAAAUUCGUAGAUAUUCGGAGGAACACCAGUGGCGAAGGCGGCUCACUGGCUCGAUACUGACGCUGAGGUGCGAAAGCGUGGGGAGCAAACAGGAUUAGAUACCCCUGUAGUCCCAUG